CCUACGGGAGGCUGCAGUGAGGAAUAUUGGUCAAUGGGCGUAAGCCUGAACCAGCCAAGUCGCGUGAGGGUUGAAGGUUCUAUGGAUCGUAAACCUCUUUUAUAAGGGACUAUAGUGUUGGCCGUUUCCUAUUUUGUAUGUACCUUCUGAUUAAGGAUCGUCUAACUCCGUGCCAGCAGCCGCGGUAAUACGGAGGAUCCGAGCGUUAUCCGGAUUUAUUGGGUUUAAGGGGUGCGUAGGCGGGCUUUUAAGUCAGCGGUGAAAGUCUGUGGUUCAACCAGUGAAUUGCCGUUGAAACUGGGGGGCUUGAGUAUGUUUGAGGCAGGCGGAAUGUGUGGUGUAGCGGUGAAAUGCUUAGAUAUCACGCAGAACCCCGAUUGCGAAGGCAGCCUGCGAAGCCAUGACUGACGCUGAUGCACGAAAGCGUGGGGAUCAAACAGGAUUAGAUACCCUAGUAGUC
rnacentral:rRNA from 1 species